CUUGUUUCUAAGAAGUCAACAUAGAUUUUCAAAAAAUGUAGGACUAUCUUUUGUUUUUCCUCUCUUUUACUUUGAUGAUUGUUAUGUUAUGAAGCUUUCCUUGUAUAAAGCUCAAUUUCUCCAUGACCACGGAAGUAAACAUCCUGAUGCAUUCUUGUCAUGUGAAUGUUGAGAGCGUCUUCAUUUUUGAAAUCUCCUUUCUGACAGACAUAUUCUACAGGAUCAGCUGAGAUGUUAUUUCACUGGAUUAUUUAAUGGAUAGGCUUAUUGGGCAUAUAGUUGGAUAUCUCUGUCAUCAACAUGGAAUGUAUGACUUCAUCUUUAUACAGUCGGGUUCGGGUUCGGCGGCCAUGGCGAAACUCGGCAAGAUUUUACCCCAGUGAAAAAGGCUUGUAAUCCACAGUUCCUCAACCUGGAAGAUAUGUUUUGUUCCUAACCACGGCACGCAUCUAUAAUCCAUUCUCUAUGAAGUGAAGCCUGGCUGCUGGUCUUCCUUUGGAAAUACACAGUUUGUCAAUCAACAUAGAAACACACAAACUUGAAUGAUUCUCAAGUGAGGGCUUAUGGAAAUGAUCUAUGUCUACUCUCAGAAUGGUGAAAGACUAUCAGAUUAUGCAAAGACUAACAGGAUAUCCUCUCUUGGAACACUGAAACAAGAAAAUCAAACAGGAGGUGGAUGGAGGAUUUAAGAAGCAUGGUGAAAGACUAUCAGAUUAUGCAAAGACUAACAGAAUAUCCUCUCUUAAAACACUGAAACAAGAAAAUCAAACAGGAUGGAGGAUUUAAGAAACACAUAGAUAAAUAUGAUUUCCAACCAAUUUAAAUACGGUCAUAGACUGUGAUUUACAGGAUGACAAAGAAAGGACCCAGGAUUGUAUCUUUUACUGUCAGACACUGACUAUGGAUAAAGUGUAAUUAUUUAUCAGACUGAGAUCUAGUCAAAUCAAGUAUUGAAAAUAUGAUUUUCUGAUAGCAUGAGCUCUUUAAAAACUAAUUCUCACUGACCUCAAGGUAUCUAAAUGUAACUUUUAUUUUUACCAAUUCAUGUUGAAGACUGUUGUUAUGUAUGAUUUUUAUACAUUGGAUCCUUUAUUUUUCAUCUUAUUUCUACAACCCCUAACAAAUCACACAGAUGUUUAAAAGCUGGAUUUGGUGUAAUUAUUACUUUCCUGGAACUGUAAAUACAUUUUGUUUGUGUAUGUAUCAUGUUUAAUUUUGAAUUUAAUAGGUCUCAAUAAGACCCC